UGCGGUGAGGUCACGCGCGGUGGGCGGCUCUGCCGCGGGGCGGCGGCGCGGCGUGGUCAGGGCGGGGCUCACGGACAGACGCAUUGUCAGACCCGGGCUCGCAGGGCCGGCGAGGGGGCUAUAGCGCCUCCAGUCGACCAGGAGCUCCCAGAGGGCAGGGUGUUGUCCCACCCACUCUGUGCCUUGCCCCAGCCCUGUUCUGAGUUGAAUCGAAGACCAGCUGCUCUCCACUUCCCUGCUCCCACUCUGCCCUCUCACCUCCAGCCAUGGCGCCCCUGCUCGCCCUGUUCCUGGUGGCCUUGGUGGGCCUACCUGUGGCCCAGGCUCUGGACUGCCACGUGUGUGCCUACAAUGGCGAGAACUGCUUCAACCCCGUGCGCUGCCCGGCCAUGGUCACCUACUGCAUGACCACGCGCACUUACUACACCCCGACCAGGAUGAAGGUGAGCAAGUCAUGUGUGCCCAGCUGCUUUGAGACCGUGUACGAUGGCUACUCCAAGCACGCGUCCACCACUUCGUGCUGCCAGUACGACCUCUGUAACGGCGCUGGCCUCGCGGCCCCUGCAACCCUGGCCCUUGUACUCCUGGCCACCCUCUGGGGUCUGCUCUAAAGCCCCGUUCCGCCCUCCACAGACUCAGUCGAGGGCAAAGUGCUCAGCAGCAAGGCCCCACCCUCUCCCCCUGCACCGCCCUCCCCAGACCCACCCAGCCGCAUCCAGGAGUGUCUGCAGGAGGACUCUUGACCUCCCCCAGCCACCCUGGGGUCUGCUUCCAGGUCAUGACCUGUUGUUUUCAGAAGGCCAAUGUGGGACCACACCUCCCAAGGCAUCUGGCUUUGAUGGGGCAGCUCAGCCCCCUCCUCUAUCCAAGGAUGGGGGUGUGGGCACGGUGUGCUGUUUAUGGGGGAUCUUCAGUUGGCCGGUGAACACUGAUGUGAAGUCGUGGCUCUAAGCACUGCAAGACAACCCUGCAAGGUAGGAGCCGUUAUCAUGCCCCUUUCACAGAUGAGGAAACUGAGGCACAGAGAGGUGAAGUAGUUGCCCAAGCCAGGUGGGACUUCUUGUCCCCCGCCCCCACUGCACCCCUGCCCCACCCUGCAGUCGCUUCUCCCAUCAGCUGGGAGAGGAAGGGGAAGCUGAGAAGGUGGGUUUAUAAAUUUAAGAGGAUUUUAGCAUGUGAAAUCAUUAUAACAGCUUAGGGUCAGGAAAGAUAGAGAAAAUCAGCACCAGGAGGUUUGAGAAGCCAUGAAGGACAGAGUCAGGGCGUCCAGCCCUGUGUCUGGGUGCUGGGCCAGGGGUGGAAUAGCACAGAGGAGGGCAGAGGGGAGCCAGGCACUCCGAGGUCACCUGGCCCAGACCCCUUCCCCACCUGUGUCAGGAUCGUGGGGCCCCAACGGAAACGAGAGCCCGCUCAGCAGGCGGAGAGGCCCAGGCUCUUUCUCGCGGCUCUUCGCGACGUUUCAGAUCUGGAAGCAGCCUGCCUGUCUCGGGAGCGGCUGCUUGACUGUGGUGGCACCUGCGUGGACUCCUGUGCCGUCCGUCUGCCUGGGACACAGCUGCGGCCCCGGUGCAGGCGGACGUGCACAGCGGAGGCUGGACAGCUGCUUCUCACCUCCCUCUGUAACAUCUGAUUUGGGGUGAUGAACGUGUAUUUUUUUCAUGAUUCUAAACCUCUGAGAAAGGUAAAAAGAAAGUGAGAGGUCUCUUUCUUUUUCAUCUCUCCCUGUCCCCCAAAUUUUGUUGGAUCCUGUCCCUCAGGCUGAUCUGGAGCUUGUCGUUCACAUCUCUGAGCCUCUGUUGUCUUGCUGAUAAAAUGGGGACAGUAGCGCCCACCAGGCUGGGGCGUAACUGCCCAGUCUGGGGCCUGGCACACAGAAGGCACCGGGUGGACAGAUGGAUGAACGGAUGGACAGACAGACGGACGGUGCCCUUUCUGUCCACUUCCUGACCCCACCCAGCAUGGGCAUCGACGUCAGGCCAUGGCCCCCCUCCCUCACACGGCCUCCCAGAGAGGUCUCGUUUGCACCUCCUCGAGCUAGUGAAUAAACGGAUGAAUACG